CCCUUUCUCGGCCCAGGCUCAGCAGAAAGCAGGGGGUGAGAGAGCCCAGGUUUAAAAAAAUAGAUUUUGGUUCAGCAUUAACCUCACCUAGGAAGAAACCAGUGAAGAGCCACAAAGGAAAUCCUGGUGCUUCCGCCAAAUCCGGUGACACUAAUUUAUGCAACGCCGCUCCAAAGGAGAUUAUUAGGGAGGAUGCUGGGGUAUUUGCGACAGCUGGUCCACGACAGCUUCUACGCAGAGAGAGCUCCUCCCACCCAGAUAGGAGCCGCCAUCAGUUUGAGGAGGCCAGAGGCCAGGAGACCCUUGACACGCGUGGCCCAGAGGGAUUUCGACCCACAGCCCCACACUGAGCACAAGCAUCUGUCUCCUCAAGCCCUUCCUCUGCUCCCUCCCACCCUGUCAUUCCACCAUCACGAGAGCUUCUCCGAGCCUCAGCUCCCACUGGAGCAGAAGUGGCUACAAGAGGGGGUGAGCUGGGGUGCAGGAGGAGUAUUCUCAGCACAGACAAGGGUGUGAAGCCAUGCCACAGGGCAUGUCGGCUCUGUCACGAGGCAGUGCCCCGGAGGGCAUACAACACGAGACCAGGGCAGGCUGAGAGACUCCAGUCAGCUGUCCUUCCAGGGAAGAGUUCGGAGCCUCACGACCUGGUCUACGUAACAAAGAGAACAGGGCCUUCACAGGACUGCUAAAACUCCACAGGGCAUUUUCAGGGCUCAGAGCUGGAUGAAUAGCCACUAGGAAUGAGCUUGACUCUGCUUCACAGACCAGAAGCAGCCACGCCCUACAGCAGGCACGUGUUCUGGAGGACCCUGGAUGUCUGCGACACUUUCCAGCCCAUAGCAUAGUCUCUCAGCUCCAGUUCCCCCAAGAAGACAUCUUGGUUAGUGGGUGCCAACUUUGGCCUCCUGGCUCCCUCACCCUGGAAUUCUGACUGGCCUUGAAACAGUCACUCUCCCGCGGCUGCUCCCUGACUUCACACAGGGCGUUAGAUGAGGAAAGCAAUGAGGCGGGUCAUUUCUUUGCGUCCCCAAAUCAAAUCCUCCUCCCCAAGACUUAUCCAUCCUGCUAUAGAUGAGAACUACUCUAUCUAGUUUGGGGUGAGAAAAGGUUGACAAGGGCAAAAACUCACAGGGAACUUGACAAUUUUACCUCCCUCUACCCUGCCCCCCAUUUUACUAUUACCCAACAAGAAGAGAAACAGAAAUACUUACAUUGUACCAACUCUGGCUUUUCUGAAAAGAAAAUAAAAAAGGAGAAUGAAAUUAGUUAGGGAGGAGAUAUUGGAAGCAGCCAGAGUAUUCCUUCCCCCUGGGGUAAAGGUAACACAGACAGCAGUGGGGGGCCAAGGAGAAGGAAUCCUAAUGCAGCUCAAUGCUUCCCGUGUCGACGCUCAGGAGGGUCCUCCUUUCGCAAGACAGAUCCAGAAAGGAGGCCCGGGGAGCAGUCCAUGCUGGAAGCCCCACCACAGCUGGGGCGGUUGGAGAUGCAGGCGGCAGUGGCAGCACUAGCUAGCGCUCGACCAGAAGGGAGGCAGAGCCCCAUCCAUCGCCAGGUUCUGCUGAUGGGGUGUGGGAUGUGUGGUAGGCAUCCAAAGCCUAGUUCCUGAGUGGGUUUUGCCCAGAAGCAAAGGAUAGAUGAAGCCCAGUACAGCCUUCUGCUCUGGGUCAUCUCUGGCAAAGGCGGGGUGGGAUAUCUCAGUGACGGCAGAAGAGGCAUCUAAAAGUCACACUGUGCUCCUAGCUGGCGGGUGAGUAAAUUCUUCCUAUCCCGACAACUGGCUGACCUCCUCACAGCUCACAGCGGAGGGAGGGACUGGGGUUCGGCAGGGGAAGAGAGGAGAAUCGUGUCAUCUUGGAAGGCUUCUGCCAACCCGUGGUGCAACAACUCGGUGUUCACAAAGCCUCAUUCUGUCCCAGCUCUACAGUCUAGGAAUUCUCAUGCUGGCCUCCCCAGGGGAUCUGAAACUUAAUAACAAUGAGAGAAGGGGACCAGCUAGAACCUGCUGUGCCCGUUUCCAGCCUCUACUUGUGAACAUUCUGUGUGGAUGUAAGAAACCUCACCAACAGGUCAAAGCCUCGAUGUGAUACCAGAGGAUGGAGCCUGUGCACAGUCAGCAGCCUGGAGUGUGUGUCCAUAAAACCAGAACUGGGCAGGCACUGUGUCAGCUGGAAGGAAUUCUGGACUUGGCCUCCCUAUCAUUCAGCCAAGGCUCUACACGCCUGGAGGAGGGUGGAUGGAGCAAGAAAGUUGCAUCCAACGGGGCCUGCGCUUCGACAGACUUUUUGAAGGUUCACAAUGAUAACUGACUCUAAGGCCACAAGAAAUGAUGGGGGGGUGUGGAUGUUGGUUGGCAGCCCCUCACAAUGACAGCGCGCACACUCUUGCAGUCGUCACCCAAGCUAUCCAGGUGUCCUGGGAUGCGCCAGCCCCGACCCAAGCUUGUCACCUGCUUCACAGAUGAGGAACAUCUCUCAGCUGCACCCAACCACCUCAUCCCUUGUCACUUUUGUGUACGACCCAAAGAGGAAAGGGGGUGGUGGGACCAGGAUCCUCCGUGGUCCUCAAACCUGGAGCCUGCCCUCUGGCCCGUGCAGACAGAAGUGGCUCUCUUCCUAUGCAUUAGCAAGAUGCCAGUUCCUUAAGAAACUACUUGAAACAAACA